rnacentral:rRNA from 1 species
UCAGGAUGAACGCUAGCGGCAGGCUUAACACAUGCAAGUCGAGGGGUAUAGUUCUUCGGAGCUAGAGACCGGCGCACGGGUGCGUAACGCGUAUGCAAUCUACCUUUCACAGAGGGAUAGCCCAGAGAAAUUUGGAUUAAUACCUCAUAGUAUUAUUGAGUGGCAUCACUUAAUAAUUAAAGUCACAACGGUGAAAGAUGAGCAUGCGUCCCAUUAGCUAGUUGGUAAGGUAACGGCUUACCAAGGCUACGAUGGGUAGGGGUCCUGAGAGGGAGAUCCCCCACACUGGUACUGAGACACGGACCAGACUCCUACGGGAGGCAGCAGUGAGGAAUAUUGGACAAUGGGCGCAAGCCUGAUCCAGCCAUGCCGCGUGCAGGAUGACGGUCCUAUGGAUUGUAAACUGCUUUUGUACGAGAAGAAACACUCCAACGUGUUGGAGCUUGACGGUAUCGUAAGAAUAAGGAUCGGCUAACUCCGUGCCAGCAGCCGCGGUAAUACGGAGGAUCCAAGCGUUAUCCGGAAUCAUUGGGUUUAAAGGGUCCGUAGGCGGUUUAGUAAGUCAGUGGUGAAAGCCCAUCGCUCAACGGUGGAACGGCCAUUGAUACUGCUGAACUUGAAUUAUUAGGAAGUAACUAGAAUAUGUAGUGUAGCGGUGAAAUGCUUAGAGAUUACAUGGAAUACCAAUUGCGAAGGCAGGUUACUACUAAUGGAUUGACGCUGAUGGACGAAAGCGUGGGUAGCGAACAGGAUUAGAUACCCUGGUAGUCCACGCCGUAAACGAUGGAUACUAGCUGUUGGAAGCAAUUUCAGUGGCUAAGCGAAAGUGAUAAGUAUCCCA